UACAGAGGUGCCAAGCGUUAGGCGGAAUCACUGGGCUUAAAGCGCGUGUAGGCGGUCCGGUAAGUCCGCUGUGAAAGUCGAGGGCUCAACCCUCGAAUGCCGGUGGAUACUGUCGGGCUAGAGUACGGAAGAGGCGAGUGGAAUUCCUGGUGUAGCGGUGAAAUGCGCAGAUAUCAGGAGGAACACCAAUUGCGAAGGCAGCUCGCUGGGACGUCACUGACGCUGAGACGCGAAAGCGUGGGGAGCAAACAGG
rnacentral:rRNA from 1 species